ACCUGGUUGAUCCUGCCAGUAGUGAUAUGCUUGUUUCAAGGAUUAAGCCAUGCAGGCUGAAAGUCAAGUUAUAAACUGUGAAUGGCUCAUUAGUCCAGCUUUUUCUUCUUUGAGGGUUGACAACGGAUAUCUGUUGGAAACUGCAGCUAAUACGGUUCUGAGUGUGGCUUUGCCUCAGAGUUGUGCGAGAAAUUUGUUGAGUUUCUAGGCACUUCGACGACUGUGAUGCAUGCUUUCUGCUGGUUUUCUCGGCAUUUGAAGGAGGGGUCUGACCUAUCAGCUUCCGUCGGUGUUGUAUUGGAGCACCGAGGCUGUGACGGGUACCGGGGGAUUGGGGUUUGGUUCCGGAGAGGGAGCCUGAGAGAUGGCUACCACGCCCAAAGGUGGCAGCAGGCGCGCAAAUUACCCAAUUGUUUGUUAGACAGAGGUAGCGACGAGAAAUAGCAGCGCGAACUAAGUUCGUAGACUGCAAUGGAUAGAGUUUAGAUCGUUCUGUGAUGAGCAAUUGGAGGGCAAGUCUGGUGCCAGCAGCCGCGGUAAUUCCAGCUCCAAUGGCGUAUAUUACUGCUGUUGCAGUUAAAAUGUUCGUAGUCGUGUUUCACAGUGCUGCAGGGAUUCUACACUUUGUGUAUUUUCCCUGUUGCGGUGACCAGGGCGGUUGGAGUUUCACCAGAGUAGGUGGAAUUCUGUCGUCUUUUAUUGAACUUCGAGGAAAUGGGGUGGCUCAAGCCAGGCUAUUCGUUUCGGCGUUGCACGGCCCAUUCAGUGUGGUACUUUCGGAGCGGGGAGUCCUCGGAGCCUUUGCGUUUCGAGGGAUUCGACCGCUUAGCGUACAGGAAUGGACGGAGACAUCCGUAUUGAACAGCAAGAGGUGAAAUUCUGGGAUUUGUUCA
rnacentral:rRNA from 1 species